UACGAGGGGGGCAAGCGUUGUUCGGAAUUAUUGGGCGUAAAGGGUGCGUAGGCGGUUUGGUAAGUCUUAUGUGAAAUCUACAGGCUCAACUUGUAGUCUGCAUGAGAAACUGCCGGGCUUGAGUAUGGGAGAGGUGAGUGGAAUUCCUGGUGUAGCGGUGAAAUGCGUAGAUAUCAGGAGGAACACCUGUGGCGAAAGCGGCUCACUGGACCAUAACUGACGCUGAUGCACGAAAAGCGUAGGGGAGCAAACAGG
rnacentral:rRNA from 1 species